rnacentral:tRNA from 1 species
GGCGGAUUACCCGAGCGGCCAAAGGGGGCUGACUGUAAAUCAGCUGGCUAUGCCUACGGGGGUUCGAAUCCCUCAUCCGCCA